UCUUGCAGAUGGAAUGAGCUACUAGGACGGUGGUUGACUGGUACUUUCAUUCCGGCAGAAAUAUUAAAAGUACAAGAGUUUGUGUUCUGUGAUGUUUACCAAGGCUUCAUGCGUAUCUUGUCCAACCCUAAACACUAUGGCAUCAAGGAAACAAGAGGAGCAUGUUGUGGAAUAGGGUGGCAUGGAGCAACAUCGGGGUGCGACA